ensembl:lncRNA
AUUGCAGUACAAUCACAGCACAGGCUCUGUUUUUCUAUAACCAUUGUUUUCCCACCAAAGGCUAAAAUUUAUGGCAAAGUAUGUUAAGCAUAGUACUAUAGAGCUGCCAGAUGGCCUACCUCUUAAUGCACUGAUUAAAAAAAUACCUAGAAAAUGCAAAUUAUGGUAUUUCCAUGCUGGAAUUGUAAUUAUUUACUCUUGUCUUAUGCCAUGCUCAGAAGCACGACAGACACGGUACAGAAGAAAUACAACACUCUGUCAUGGAUAUCUUACACAACUCCAGUCCUGCAGAUGUAGUUUGGAAUUCUGAAGCAUUAUUCAAGUGAGUCCCUUCAUAGGUUGUCCUCCAAAAGAACCUGCGUGUAGAUCCUGACAGGAGCAACAGAGAAACCUGUGGGGUCAUCGUUCAAGAUGCUAGUCUGUGUUGUCUGGAAGUCAAUGUACAGGGGUGACUAGUGAAUGAACAAGGAAAUCUGCCAAAUUUGUACAUCGAUGCUGUGCUCGCCAGCUGGUCCGUGGGAUUUGCGUUACGCUAUUUGUUUGGAUGUAUGUGUUCCUGUAAAGAGAUGAUGUCGCGUUUUUCAGCCGGCACAGGAGGUACCCAAAGUUCUCAGCGUUUGACUUGUGCACGAAUUUCAGAUUCAGGCAAUAAGAGUGAAAUUGGUAUUAAAAAAACUCGGACGGCACAGGCUUCGUGGUUUUUGUUUUCCACCACAUUGCAGUGCAGCGGGGCAGUUGGUGCAGGGAAUGCACCAUGGACCCAACACUUUGCCCACCCAAACCAUCAGCAAAAUGCCCAUAUCGCUCAGUGGGAGGAGGUUAGGUCUUAUCUCUGUUGUAAGAGUAUUUCAUUGCAAAGGCAAAUGCUUCUAAAAUACCGCACAUAGCACUCUUCUCUAUGUGAGCUGGUUAACAUGUGGUCAGCAUUGUUAAAGGUGAGAGAUUACAAACAGUGCAUUAAUUCGCAGCGCACCUUGUUUGCAUGAUAACAGCAAGAUGUAAUGCGCGUAAUGAUAAGCAAAGCUAUUAUGUGCAGAUAGAUAAAGAAUAUAACACAUUCCUUGCUCUUUCCACAGUACAUGGCUACAAAAACCCCAGUGCAACAGUAUUUCUCAUUUUUCAUAUUUUCCAGCACAUUUCGGUUCCUUCUGCUUUUCUUCCCAUGUAGGGCUCCUCGGGACCGCCGUGUCCCUGGAUUUGCAUUUUAUUGCAUGAGCUAAUUGCACGUGUUUUUAAACACAUGUUCUCUUGCUGAUGUCAUUCAUUUAGACUGUAGCAUUUCUGACAUUUUUAGGUAGUCCCCCAGGCCUCGUAGCCCUCUUAGCAGGGUCCUUUCAGUGAGGGGUGUUUGCUUUAUGAUUACUGACUGACAUCUCAAUAACGUGGAACAUAUUGAGCAGUGCAUGUCUAUCGAGCAGCCUUUUUAAAUGCACGGUCCACUUUGUCAAGUCAUGUGCGAGCCAUAAUUUAGGCUAAUAAUUACCAGACAUGAAUGCUAUGAAACAUUGAUGUCUACACUUUUUCCCCCUCUAAGUACUGAAUUUUAAUACAUUCAGAAAAGGUUUUCCAAAGGCCAAGAUAAGCCCCCUAAAAAGCUCAUAUGGAAGCACUUUAAAAGUGAUAAAUGAUUUGGAAUCUACACUGUCUACUGAUGUACGUCUCAGGAAAGAAAAUUAGAGCUAACAGGUGUUAGAUAGGGAAUGGUGAAGCAUUUUAAUAGAAUUGUCAAAAUGUUGGUCCCAGAUGCUGACAUUAAUGCAUGCAACGAGGAAUGUAAUGCCGCACCACCAUUAAAUGAUUAUUUGUUUAAAUUUUGAGUCGAUGGCAGGAAAUCCUAACUUUGUCCACUACUUCUCUGUACAGGCCAUCCCUCCUGUGCUUUCCUCUAUGAUUUGCAUCAAAGUGUAAUGGUUAUAUGGCUCACAUCUGCAUGCUUUAAAUAACCCAUGCCUGUCAAAUUUCAUUUUUUCCUCUCAGAUCAGAACCUUCAUAACCCCUUCUCCGCCAGCCUUGAAGUCGGUACAAAUCUAUCUGUACAUUUGGGGGAAAAUAAUUUAAAUGCUGCGAGUUACGGGGUAAUUAAUCUUUGAACUAUUUUCCAACUUCAAAUGUAUUUACUAAGCAAUCUGCAUGAACCUGUGAUUACUGCGUAUUUGUGAGGUAUUUUCCAUGUAAUCACAAAGCAGUUACACGGUCAUAGGAAUCUUGUAAAUUAUAACGAUAGCGGGGGAAGCGGCGGGAGGGGGGAGCUCUGCUGCUCGCACUAAAAAGCUUUUCCAGAAAUCUUUGGAAUUCUCUUCAGUGAAAUCGCCUGAGACGGCAGAGAAAGCACGUCCUUUGGAGAUUACUAGAAUUUCUGCCAACAAAAGGGGAUCCGAUAUCCAUGUACGGUUCAGCUGGAUGGAGGGGGAGAAGGGAGCGGAGAUAGCGGCAAUUUAUUAUUAUUAUUAUUAUUUAAUCCAUUGUUUGAAUGGUGAAUCACUAAUUUAAAAGUUGCUGCGAUUUUUUUUUUCACUGCAGUUUGCAGGCUGCUGAAAGCUCAACAGCCAUUCAGGCUUCAAAGACAAAAGGGAGAUUUCCCUCUUUAAUCUUCGCCGAUGUUCCCUCACUCAACCCAUCUUGGCUGGAAGCUCUCUGGAGCAGCGCACACAGCGCUCGCCAAUGCGCGGAGUCGUGCGCUCCUGGUGCUAAUAAAGCCAUCGCUCCGGCACGGCAGGUCGGGUGAUUACUGCCUCUGGUAAAUGCUUGUGAGACAAUAAGCAGACAUAGGGAGAAAUGAACUGAUCGAGGUGAGCAAGAGGAUGGGGUGGAUGAGAAACGCGGGGUGGGAGAGCCUCGGCGAUACGUUCACCCAGGGGAACCUCACCCUGCUGGUGGAUUCCCGACCCACGCUCUUAUCUCUCUGCAGAGCCCGCAGUGAAAAGCCAAUGCUGUUCGGGAAGCUUUUUCCUUACAGAUGAGAUAUAAAACCAAUGCCUGCCUAACCACUUAUGUACAUUAAUGAUCCCCCGGUGCUCUCCAAAAGAGGAAAAAUAUUAACCCAGACAUCAUAAUAAUAUGCUGCUUGCUUAUAAGCCCUGUACAAUUUAAAUUCAAUCUGGUGUGAUGUUAUUUCUGACUUCCUGACCCAAAUUGGUGUGCGUGCAGCUCUGAGCUGUUAAGCAGAUGAUUGUUCCAUCCCAGCAGCAGAUCCAUCUCUCCGAUGCCUUGGAAGGAUUUCUCGGCCUGCGUUGCAGAGAGCCUCUGUUGAAAAAUGUGCCGCAUGUCAAACCGUUGGCUGAGCACAGCACAUCAUCCAUGGGGCCAUUUUUACUGUACACACACAUCCUUCGUUUCCUACGAACACACCACUGCCAGAGACUGCAGAUGGAGAAAGGCUCUCAAAUCCCUCUGUUGGUAAAAAGGCGAAAAUGCUCCAGACGGAUUUUCCUCUCCUUUUCCACCUACCCACAGCUCCUUCAGACAGCGUCCUCCCUAUGCAGCAAAUGCAGUCCUGUGAAGGUCAGGGUUGGUGAUAGGCCCGUGUUUUGCUGCUGUGUGCUCAGGUGCAGAAGGUAUGGGAACCCUCCUGGUCCCACCCUGUCUGGGUUUCCCUGGGAGAGCCCUGGUGCCAGGACCUGCACCCCGGAGCUGCUCACACCCUACCUGCUCCGCAAAUGAGCAGAGCCAAAGCAGAUGGCUUUGUGGAGCAUAAAACAAAACAGAGAGAUCUGUGGUGGCUGCAGAAAUACUGCCCUGGCUCUCCCCUGCGUGAUCAGGGGAUGGCAGGGCUCUCCUGCUCUGGGCAGCUGGGUGAGCCCCUAGAAGCUGGAGCUGCUGGAAGAGCUGGCUGCUGACCGACCUCCUGCAUGCCCAAUCCCAGCUCUGCGCUUGCAUUUGUGUUGCAGCAGUGUUUUCCUGGGAGCCAAACAAAACAGUUGUUCAUGAGCCACUCAGAGUAUGUGCUGGGGCAUGAAGGAGGUGUCAGUUUGUCCUCAUUAGUAAUUGCAACAGACUCACUUUGGUGUAGUGUCCUGCUAAAAGGAAUGGUAUGAUGGAUCUUGUCAUCAUUCCUCUGGAAAGUAAAGUAGUCCUCCCCAGUCCGUGGUCCCAAGCAGAGUUUGCUUGCUGAUACAUGAUCAUGGGCAAUGAAAUGAGCUCCAAUCUCCAUUUACGAGCUUUUACAAUCAAUGGUAUGGUUAAAGAUUGCUUGAUAACUAUGCUGGGAAACUUCUGUUUCUUACUCCCCUGUUUUCAGUUGCAGAUAUUUUAUAAUUCAAUGCUGGACUUGUACAUAAUACUUCAGUACCAUUCAUGCAGGUGGCUCCAAUAAAUUUAGAAACUUUUUUUGUGGUA